rnacentral:rRNA from 1 species
AACAGGAAGCAGCUUGCUGCUUUGCUGACGAGUGGCGGACGGGUGAGUAAUGUCUGGGAAACUGCCUGAUGGAGGGGGUAACUACUGGAAACGGUAGCUAAUACCGCAUAACGUCGCAAGCACAAAGAGGGGGACUUAGGGCCUCUUGCCUCGGAUGUCCCAGAUGGGAUUAGCUAGUAGGUGGGGUAACGGCUCACCUAGGCGACGAUCCCUAGCUGGUCUGAGAGGAUGACCAGCAACACUGGAACUGAACACGGUCCAGACUCCACGGGAGGCAGCAGUGGGGAAUAUUGCACAAUGGGCGCAAGCCUGUGCAGCCAUGCNGCGUGUAUGAGAAGGCCUUCGGGUUGUAAAGUACUUUCAGCGGGGAGAAGGGAGUAAAGUUAAUACCUUUGCUCAUUGACGUUACCCGCAGAAGAAGCACCGGCUAACUCCGUGCCAGAGCCGCGUAAUACGGAGGGUGCAAGCGUUAAUCGGAAUUACUGGGCGUAAAGCGCACGCAGGCGGUUUGUUAAGUCAGAUGUGAAAUCCCCGGGCUCAACCUGGGACUGCAUCUGAUACUGGCAACUUGAGUCUCGUAGAGGGGGGUAGAAUUCCAGGUGUAGCGGUGAAAUGCGUAGAGAUCUGGAGGAAUACCGGUGGCGAAGGCGGCCCCCUGGACGAAGACUACGCUCAGGUGCGAAAGCGUGGGGAGCAAACAGGAUUAGAUACCCUGGUAGUCCACGCCGAAACGAUGUCGACUUGGAGGUUGUGCCCUUGAGGCGUGGCUUCCGGANNUAACGCGUUAGUCGACCGCCUGGGGAGUACGGCCGCAAGGUUAAAACUCAAAUGAAUUGACGGGGGCCGCACAGCGGUGGAGCAUGUGGUUUAAUUCGAUGCAACGCGAAGAACCUUACCUGGUCUUGAAUCCACGGAAGUUUUCAGAGAUGAGAAUGUGCCUUCGGGAACCGUGAGACAGGUGCUGCAUCUGUCGUCAGCUCGUGUUGUGAA